AAAACAAAAUAUUUUUUGGGCAAAUCAUUUCAGCCUCCCCAACUCCAAGCGCCUCCAUCUGUAUUCUCGUUCUCGACUCUGAACCAGCCCUCUCUCUCUCUCUGUCUGUCUCUCUGCAACUGCAAACUAAAAAAUUUACAAGAAUCAGAAGUUCAAAACCCAUAUAUUUCAGCUCUACAAAAUCUACAAGGAUCAGAAGUUCAAAACCAUAUAUUUCAGAUCUGUCUGCAAGAAUCAAAAGUUCAAAACCCAUAUCGGCAUAUCAUUUCAAGAUUGUUCAAAAAAUCAAAAACCAUAUCUUUCAGUUUCCAUCGCCCGCUGUUCCAGUUCGGGUUCGCCGUUCGCAAGCUUCAGCCGCUGUCUCUCAACUCUCAAGCUUGCCCCCCUCUCUCUGUGCAACUGCUCACUUGAAGAGGGGUGUUCAGAUUGGCGAAGUUCUCAGACAGACAGUCAACGGUUCCUUGGAACCGAACUGUGAAAGGGUCCGGUCCCAGAUCUCAACGGUUCUGUCUCUCUCACCAUUCACCAGCAAGCCAAAGAAAGCUGUGAGAUUCCGUUAGGAAGAUGGUCCGGAUUUGGAGUGAAAUCGGACCAUGCGACGACAAAAGUUUAAAUUUUGGAAAAGAAAUAAAAGACCAAGUGAAAUGAGUGGAAUCGGAAAAAAAAAGAAGAUAGGCAGGACAGUCGCCACCUGGCCUUACUCGUGAUGAAUCUAUGGUGGAUAGUAGCGAGAGUCCUACCACUACUGAGCAUGAAACCGAGGAUGAAAGGGUGUGAUGCCUAUGGAGAUUUACCUCCCAGAGGUUAGGGAGGUUCCAACUGACCCUACGCUUGAACUUCCCACCAAUUCGCAUGUUCCUCGUAGUAUUGUUUUGGAACCGAGGGGAGGGAGAACAUUAGAAAGUAGAACAAAGGGAACAAUGAAAUUUUGAAAUAUCAAGUUUUUUCUUGUGAAUUUUACAACGGCUUGUGUUGUAAAAUUACUUGUUGUAUCAAGUUUUUUUUUUUUGUGAACUUUACAACGUUGUAAAAUUACUUGUUGUAUCAAGUUUUUUUUUGUGAAUUUUACAACGGCUUGUGUUGUAAAAUUACUUGUUGAGCAAUUAUCAGAUAUAUUUGGUUUUAAUAAAGACAUUUUGUUGCUGAGGGUA